CGGAAAACUGGGGAUAAUACCCGAUAGGUCUCGAUUGCUGGAAUGCAGCGAGAGUUAAAGCGCCGGCGCCUAAGGAGGGGGCGGCGGCCUAUCAGGUAGUAGUGGGGGUAGCGUACCUACUAGCCUACGACGGGUACGGGUUGUGAGAGCAAGAGCCCGGAGAUGGAGUCUGAGACACGAAUCCAGGCCCUACGGGGUGCAGCAGGCGCGAAAACUUUACAAUGCUGGCAACAGCGAUCAGGGAACCUCGAGUGCCAGGUUACAAAUCUGGCUGUCGAGAUGCCUCAAACGCAUUUCAUAGCAAGGGCCGGGCAAGACCGGUGACAGCCGCCGCGGUAACA
rnacentral:rRNA from 1 species